UAGUUGUGUGGGUGCAUGUACGCAUGAUCUUUUUGAUGCGGUACGUGUUGGCGUGUGAGUGGUGUUUGGUUUGUGUGGUUGACGGGCUCUAUGCUUGUGCAUUGAACCGUUCACUANCAUGCCUCUUCAUUGUUUGCUUCAAGUGCAUCNUGUGCCUUGNNCAACGUGNGGUCCCUAUGUUGGAUUCCU
rnacentral:misc_RNA from 1 species